UACGUAGGGUGCAAGCGUUAAUCGGAAUUACUGGGCGUAAAGCGUGCGCAGGCGGUUUUGUAAGCCAGAUGUGAAAUCCCCGGGCUUAACCUGGGAAUGGCAUUUGGGACUGCAAGGCUGGAGUACGGCAGAGGAGACUGGAAUUCCUGGUGUAGCAGUGAAAUGCGUAGAGAUCAGGAGGAAUACCGAUGGCGAAGGCAGGUCUCUGGGCUGAUACUGACGCUCAUGCACGAAAGCGUAGGGAGCAAACAGG
rnacentral:rRNA from 1 species